UAGGGAAUCUUCCGCAAUGGGCGAAAGCCUGACGGAGCAACGCCGCGUGAGUGAUGAAGGUCUUCGGAUCGUAAAACUCUGUUAUUAGGGAAGAACAAAUGUGUAAGUAACUAUGCACGUCUUGACGGUACCUAAUCAGAAAGCCACGGCUAACUACGUGCCAGCAGCCGCGGUAAUACGUAGGUGGCAAGCGUUAUCCGGAAUUAUUGGGCGUAAAGCGCGCGUAGGCGGUUUUUUAAGUCUGAUGUGAAAGCCCACGGCUCAACCGUGGAGGGUCAUUGGAAACUGGGAAGCUUGAGUGCAGAAGAGGAAAGUGGAAUUCCAUGUGUAGCGGUGAAAUGCGCAGAGAUAUGGAGGAACACCAGUGGCGAAGGCGACUUUCUGGUCUGUAACUGACGCUGAUGUGCGAGAGCGUGGGGAUCAAACAGG
rnacentral:rRNA from 1 species